UACGUAGGUGGCAAGCGUUGUCCGGAUUUACUGGGUGUAAAGGGCGUGCAGCCGGAGAGACGAGUCAGAUGUGAAAUCCACGGGCUCAACCCGUGAACUGCAUUUGAAACUGUUUCCCUUGAGUGUCGGAGAGGUAAUCGGAAUUCCUUGUGUAGCGGUGAAAUGCGUAGAUAUAAGGAAGAACACCAGUGGCGAAGGCGGAUUACUGGACGAUAACUGACGGUGAGGCGCGAAAGCGUGGGGAGCAAACAGG
rnacentral:rRNA from 1 species